CUAGGUGUGACGAAGAAAAUCAUUCGGAUUCCCAUUGAUUUGUGUUAACAAAUGUGAGAUCUUAAACCAGCUACUUCUGACCUAA
rfam:Triticum urartu cultivar G1812 contig1092195, whole genome shotgun sequence.